AGAGUUUGAUCCUGGCUCAGGAUGAACGCUGGCGGCGUGCUUAACACAUGCAAGUCGAACGAAGCACACAGAAACAAAUCUUCGGAAGAGUAUCUGUGUGACUGAGUGGCGUACGGGUGAGUAACGCGUGGGUAACCUGCCCUAUACAGGGGGAUAACAGUUAGAAAUGACUGCUAAUACCGCAUAAGCGCACAGGAUCGCAUGGUCAAGUGUGAAAAACUGAGGUGGUAUAGGAUGGACCCGCGUCUGAUUAGCUUGUUGGUGAGGUAACGGCUCACCAAGGCGACGAUCAGUAGCCGGCCUGAGAGGGCGACCGGCCACAUUGGGACUGAGACACGGCCCAAACUCCUACGGGAGGCAGCAGUGGGGAAUAUUGCACAAUGGGGGAAACCCUGAUGCAGCGACGCCGCGUGAGUGAAGAAGUAUUUCGGUAUGUAAAGCUCUAUCAGCAGGGAAGAAAAUGACGGUACCUGACUAAGAAGCCCCGGCUAACUACGUGCCAGCAGCCGCGGUAAUACGUAGGGGGCAAGCGUUAUCCGGAUUUACUGGGUGUAAAGGG
rnacentral:rRNA from 1 species